rnacentral:tRNA from 2 species
GCGCCCGUAGCUCAGCUGGAAGAGCGUCUGGCUUCGAACCAGCAGGUCGCAGGUUCGAGUCCUGCCGGGCGCG